rnacentral:rRNA from 1 species
UACGUAGGGGGCAAGCGUUGUCCGGAAUCAUUGGGCGUAAAGAGCGCGUAGGCGGCCCUGUAAGUCCGCUGUGAAAGUCAAGGGCUCAACCCUUGAAUGCCGGUGGAUACUGCAGGGCUAGAGUCCGGAAGAGGCGAGUGGAAUUCCUGGUGUAGCGGUGAAAUGCGCAGAUAUCAGGAGGAACACCGGUGGCAAAGGCGGGUCUCUGGGCCGAUAUUGACGCUGAGGAGCGAAAGCGUGGGGAGCGAACAGG